AGUGAACGCUGGCGGUAGGCCUAACACAUGCAAGUCGAACGGCAGCACAGUAAGAGCUCGCUUUUACGGGUGGCGAGUGGCGGACGGGUGAGGAAUACAUCGGAAUCUACUUUUUCGUGGGGGAUAACGUAGGGAAACUUAUGCUAAUACCGCAUAUGAUCUACGGGUGAAAGCAGGGGAUCUUCGCACCUUUCGCGUCUGAAUGAGCCGAUGUCGGAUUAGCUAGUUGGCGGGGUAAAGGCCCACCAAGGCAACGCUCCGUAGCUGGUCUGAGAGGAUGAUCAGCCACACUGGAACUGAGACACGGUCCAGACUCCUACGGGAGGCAGCAGUAGGGAAUAUUGGACAAUGGGCGCAAGCCUGAUCCAGCCAUACCGCGUGGGUGAAGAAGGUCUUCGGGUUGUAAAGCCCUUUUGUUAGGAAAGAAAAGAAGCAGGUUAAUACCCCGCUGUUCUGACGGUACCCAAAGAAUAAGCACCGGCUAACUACGUG
rnacentral:rRNA from 1 species